UCGAAGCGCGAAUCCGGUCUUCGGACCGGUAGUAGAAGCGGCGAACGGGUGAAGUAACACGUGAGUAACCUGCCCCUGGAUCCGGGAUAGCCCCGGGAAACCGGGAUUAAUACCGGAUGCGGCCUUUCCCCUGCAUGGGGGAUCGGUCAAAGGGUUAAGUACCGUCCGGGGAUGGGCUCGCGGCCCAUUAGCUUGUCGGUGAGGUAACGGCUCACCGAGGCUGAGACGGGUAGCUGGUCUGAGAGGAUGAUCAGUCACACUGGCACUGAGACACUGGCCAGACUCCUACGGGAGGCUGCAGUCGAGAAUCUUCGGCAAUGGGCGCAAGCCUGACCGAGCGAUGCCGCGUGGGUGAAGAAGGCCUUCGGGUCGUAAAGCCCUGUCACCCGGGACGAAGCCUGGCGGUACCGGGAGAGGAAGCCACGGCUAACUACGUGCCAGCAGCCGCGGUAACACGUAGGUGGCGAGCGUUAUUCGGAAUUACUGGGCGUAAAGGGUCCGCAGGGGGUCUGCCAAGUCUGCUGUGAAAGCCCGCGGCUCAACCGCGGAAGUGCAGUGGAAACUGGCGAACUGGAGUGCACGAGAGGAGAGCGGAAUUCCCGGUGUAGCGGUGGAAUGCGUAGAUAUCGGGAAGAACAUCGACGGCGAAAGCAGCUCUCUGGCGUGUCACUGACCCUCAGGGACGAAAGCGUGGGCAGCGAACAGGAUUAGAUACCCUGGUAGUCCAC
rnacentral:rRNA from 1 species